rnacentral:rRNA from 1 species
CUAAAUGCAGUCGAACGGUAAGGCCCCUUCGGGGGUACACGAGUGGCGAACGGGUGAGUAACACGUGGGUAAUCUGCCCUGCACUUCGGGAUAAGCCUGGGAAACCGGGUCUAAUACCGGAUAUGAACUCCUGCCGCAUGGUGGGGGUUGGAAAGUUUUUCGGUGCAGGAUGAGCCCGCGGCCUAUCAGCUUGUUGGUGGGGUAAUGGCCUACCAAGGCGACGACGGGUAGCCGGCCUGAGAGGGUGAUCGGCCACACUGGGACUGAGACACGGCCCAGACUCCUACGGGAGGCAGCAGUGGGGAAUAUUGCACAAUGGGCGAAAGCCUGAUGCAGCGACGCCGCGUGGGGGAUGACGGUCUUCGGAUUGUAAACCCCUUUCAGUAGGGACGAAGCGCAAGUGACGGUACCUGCAGAAGAAGCACCGGCUAACUACGUGCCAGCAGCCGCGGUAAUACGUAGGGUGCGAGCGUUGUCCGGAAUUACUGGGCGUAAAGAGCUCGUAGGCGGUUUGUCACGUCGUCUGUGAAAUCCCUCGGCUUAACCGGGGGCGUGCAGGCGAUACGGGCAGACUUGAGUACUACAGGGGAGACUGGAAUUCCUGGUGUAGCGGUGAAAUGCGCAGAUAUCAGGAGGAACACCGGUGGCGAAGGCGGGUCUCUGGGUAGUAACUGACGCUGAGGAGCGAAAGCAUGGGUAGCGAACAGGAUUAGAUACCCUGGUAGUCCAUGCCGUAAACGGUGGGCGCUAGGUGUGGGGUCCUUCCACGGACUCCGUGCCGUAGCUAACGCAUUAAGCGCCCCCCUGGGGAGUACGGCCGCAAGGCUAA